rnacentral:rRNA from 1 species
AUGAACGCUAGCGACAGGCCUAACACAUGCAAGUCAGGGGCAGCACAGGAGCAAUCUGAGGUGGCGACCGGCGCACGGGUGAGUAACACGUAUGCAACCUGCCUGUAAGCGGGGAAUAACCCGUUGAAAGACGGACUAAUACCGCAUAAUACUAAAUUACUGCAUGGUAAUUUAUUUAAACAUUUAUGGCUUACAGAUGGGCAUGCGCAUGAUUAGCUAGUUGGAGAGGUAACGGCUCCCCAAGGCAACGAUCAUUAGGGGUUCUGAGAGGAAGGUCCCCCCACACUGGUACUGAGACACGGACCAGACUCCUACGGGAGGCAGCAGUGAGGAAUAUUGGUCAAUGGACGAGAGUCUGAACCAGCCAAGUCGCGUGCAGGAAGAAUGUCCUAUGGAUUGUAAACUGCUUUUGCAGGGGAAUAAAGUGCAUCACGUGUGAUGUUUUGUAUGUACUCUGCGAAUAAGGAUCGGCUAACUCCGUGCCAGCCGCGGC